UCUGAGGCUUUUUUUAAAGCCAUAAAACUAAUUUAUUUUCAUAUAA
rfam:Buceros rhinoceros silvestris contig131750, whole genome shotgun sequence.